UCCUCCGCCUCCGUCGCCUAUUCGCCUCUCCCACUCUCUGCCCCCGCCUCCCCUCCUUCUCUCCCUCCCCCGCAUGCCUCAACUGCUCCUCUCCGGCGUCGUAGCCGUCCCUCUCGCUCCCGUGACAUCCAGAUCUGACUUGGGGGCGCAGCUCAGAGUGCCAAUGCGCCGCAACCUCCGUUGCGCCCGCACGUGCCCUAGCCAGUCGCCAUGGAGCUCAUCCCCAUCAAGCCCGAGGUAGGAUCUCUCGUCGAGAUUGGAUAGGAGCUCCGAACGCGAGCCAUAGACGGGGAGUUGAUGCCACCGGGCAAUGGAUGGUCGCAUCCUCAGGACCUCCGCGUGCAACAGCAGCGGCUAUCAUUUUUCUCAUCGCCUACUUCAAUAGCCUACAGCAUUAGCAGUACCGUGCUUUUUACUUCACAAGAAAAGGUUGGCCGAGGUCCCUGCUCUAGCGCAAGGAUUUCUACUGCAACGAUUGCAACACACACAGGAACUUUUUUGAAACCUUCAAGCUUCAACGCUUGACCCUUUGCAUUGGUGGCAUAGUGAAUAUUGAACUACUGGAGAGAAUACAAAAACAAUUUACGGAUGAUAGGUACUACAUAUGGCAGAUGAGGCAACUGGCCAUGGCAUAUAUGUUGCUUCGACCUGUGCAGUUUAUGGAUGAAGACGAAGCUGACCUGCAGAUGUAAACUUUGUUUUCUAUGGACCAGGUCUUGUAUAUCCAAAUUGAACGGAUUGUUCUAAUAAAUAUAUCACAAAAAGAUAAAGUAUAAUAUUUGUUCUUGUGCGUUGUUGCAAUGAAUUUUAGUGAGGUAAUACGAACUUAUAUCCAUUUUUCAAAUAUAUUCUAGGUUCUAACCAACUGGUCCAAAAUGUCACAUUGAUUGAUAUGUGGAUUUUUAUACUUCAGAA